CAUGAAUCAGGUCCUCCUCUGAGCCAUCAACACUGAUAAUCUGCUAAUCCAUCCUGUUCUCUAACCUUCAACACACUAUUUCAGCAUUAACCCUGCUGUGACUUCACAGUGCUCAGCAUGCUGAUUAGCACUGAUUCCAAACACGCCGGCUACUGAAAAUCUUAAGGACUUAGUUAGUACUCAUCCUGGAAAGCCACUUGUGCCGAAGUGUUUCUCACCACACAUGGAAUGGUGCUUUUUAGUAACCAGUGUUCUAUGAGUGUCUCUGCCUUCCUCCUUAAGACUAUGCUAGAACCCCUCAGCCAAACCCUCACUGUUUUGAAUAUUUUCUUUCUUAAGACAUGUUCCUUAAAAAGCAUUAAUAUUAAGGCUUGAUUCUUAGUUAUUGUGAAGUACUGAAAUGCUGUUUCUUUGUAAUGCUCAGUUCUCACUUUUUUGUUUUCAAGCCAUCCUUUUUGUGCAUUAACAGUUCUCUCCUUUACACAUGAAAUAUUUAUUUGCUUAAGCCUCAGAAUUAAAACAUCAAUUCAAGGCUUACUUCUCAGCUCAUUCCAUGCUUCAGUGGAAGAAACAAAAAAAAAAAAAA
rnacentral:lncRNA from 1 species